rnacentral:rRNA from 1 species
AACGAACGCUGGCGGCAUGCCUAACACAUGCAAGUCGAACGAUCCCUUCGGGGAUAGUGGCGCACGGGUGCGUAACGCGUGGGAACCUGCCCUUAGGUUCGGAAUAACUCAGAGAAAUUUGAGCUAAUACCGGAUAAUGUCUUCGGACCAAAGAUUUAUCGCCUUUGGAUGGGCCCGCGUUGGAUUAGCUAGUUGGUGGGGUAAAGGCCUACCAAGGCGACGAUCCAUAGCUGGUCUGAGAGGAUGAUCAGCCACACUGGGACUGAGACACGGCCCAGACUCCUACGGGAGGCAGCAGUGGGGAAUAUUGGACAAUGGGCGAAGGCCUGAUCCAGCAAUGCCGCGUGAGUGAUGAAGGCCUUAGGGUUGUAAAGCUCUUUUAACCGGGAUGAUAAUGACAGUACCGGGAGAAUAAGCCCCGGCUAACUCCGUG